UGGGGAAUAUUGCACAAUGGAGGGAACUCUGAUGCAGCGACGCCGCGUGAACGAAGAAGGCUUUCGAGUCGUAAAGUUCUUUUAUAUGGGAAGAUAAUGACGGUACCAUAAGAAAAAGCCCCGGCUAACUACGUGCCAGCAGCCGCGGUAAUACGUAGGGGGCUAGCGUUGUCCGGAAUCACUGGGCGUAAAGGGUUCGCAGGCGGAAAUGCAAGUCAGGUGUAAAAGGCAGUAGCUUAACUACUGUAAGCAUUUGAAACUGCAUAUCUUGAGAAGAGUAGAGGUAAGUGGAAUUUUUAGUGUAGCGGUGAAAUGCGUAGAUAUUAAAAAGAAUACCGGUGGCGAAGGCGACUUACUGUGCUCAUUCUGACGCUGAGGAACGAAAGCGUGGGUAGCAAACAGG
rnacentral:rRNA from 1 species